GACUGAUUUCCUGUAAUUGUCAAAUUGUUUCGUUUAUCUAUGAAAAGCAUACAUCAGUUAUAUCACUGCAAAAGUCCACCACAAGUGUAAGAGACAUGGCACAUUUUAUUGCAAUCAUUGCACUAUUUUUUAUUACAACGUACGAAACCACUAAUGCCAGUGCCGUGGAGUGUGUGUUUCAGAUAAUGGACCUUCCACCAAUGGGUGAUGAGUAUACGUGUGAAGGAAGAGCAUUAAUCGAUGAUAACGAAAAUAUAACAGCAGUCUAUGGGGUUCAUCAACCUGGAAAAGGACAUCUGGACGUUCGAGGCAUACAAAUUAGAAACCAAAACUUACCGUUCUUUCCAAGGAAUUUUGAUGAAUUUUUUCCCAAUAUAGUCGCCAUUUAUCUAUCCAAUAAUUCAAUAUCAUCUGUCACCAACAGCCACUUGAAACCGUUCCCAAAUUUACAAAUUCUCACUUUCCAUAUCAAUAGCAUCACGACCUUGGAUAGCAACCUUUUCGCCGGCAUAAAGUGGACAGCAUCGAAUUUUUAUAUCAGUUUCUUUCGCAACAACAUUAGACACAUCGGACACGACAUUAGCUUGCCAAACGUCGGAUCGAUAGAUUUCCGAGAGAAUCCGUGCAUCGAUUACAUUGGCAAUUCAACAGAUUCCAUUUCAACAUUGAAAUUGAAUUUGCUGCGCCACUGUCCACCGACAAUUUGGCAAAUAGAGGAAACACUAGAAAGUCGACCAAAUUUGCUAACUGAACUAAGAA